AGCAGCCAGUGCACUUCAUAAUCCUUGAAAUGACCAUUGCCCCCAUACCACUGAUGUGUUAGAGCUACACUUGGCCUUCCACCAGCCUUCCACUCAGCCUAUUCCACUGCAGGGUUUGUACGCACACGCGCUUUCCCUGCACCCCAUGCCACAGCAUUGGAAGAACCUCAUUCAACACUUGGUGCAUGAUUGAGAGGAGAUGCUGCCAGAAUAGAAUGAGUCAAAGCACUCAUAGAAUUUCUCUGCUCAGCUGGAAUCAGGGUUGACUAGCCCAGAACCCUUCAUCAGCACACAGUAAAUGUCUCUUCUUAGUGAACAAAGCAACUAUCAGCAGCAGACCCACUUUGGAGUCUCUUGGGAAUGUGUGAACAUGACAGUAAACAGCCUACAUCAAAGAUGUUUCAAUUCUGCAACAAGCCUUUCUGCUU